rnacentral:rRNA from 1 species
GACGUAGGGCGCGAGCGUUGUCCGGAUUUAUUGGGUUUAAAGGGUGCGUAGGCGGCUUUGUAAGUCAGUGGUGAAAUAUGGCAGCUCAACUGUCAGGGUGCCAUUGAUACUGCAGAGCUUGAGUACAGAUGAGGUAGGCGGAAUUGACGGUGUAGCGGUGAAAUGCUUAGAUAUCGUCAAGAACACCGAUAGCGAAGGCAGCUUACUGGGCUGUAACUGACGCUGAUGCACGAAAGCUAGGGGAGCGAACGGG